UACGUAGGAGGCAAGCGUUGUCCGGAAUUACUGGGCGUAAAGCGCGUGUAGGUGGUGGGACAAGUCUGCUGUGAAAGCGCCUGGCUUAACCGGGCGAGGUCGGCGGAAACUGUUCGACUCGAGGACGGUAGAGGGAGGUGGAAUUCCCGGUGUAGUGGUGAAAUGCGUAGAGAUCGGGAGGAACACCUGUGGCGAAGGCGGCCCCCUGGGCCGGCCCUGACACUGAGACGCGAAGGCGUGGGGAGCGAACGGG
rnacentral:rRNA from 1 species